AACGAACGCUGGCGGCAUGCCUAACACAUGCAAGUCGAACGAGACCUUCGGGUCUAGUGGCUCACGGGUGCGUAACGCGUGGGAACCUGCCCUUAGGUUCGGAAUAACUCCCCGAAAGGGGCCCGAAUCCCGGAUAAUAUUUUCGGACAAAAGAUUUAUCGCCUUUGGAUGGGCCCGCGUUGUAUUAGGUAGUUGGUAGGGUAACAGCCUACCAAGGCGACGAUCCGUAGCUGGACUGAGAGGAUGAUCAGCAACACUGGGACUGAGACACAGUCCAGCCUGCUGCGGCAGGGAGCAGUGGUGAAUAUUGGACACUAGGCGAAUGCCUGAACGCGCAGUGCCGCGUGAGUGAUGAAGGGUUUAAGGUUGUAAAGCUCUUUUACCCGGGAUGUUAAUGCCGUUACCAGGAGAAUAAGAUCCGGCUACCUCCGU
rnacentral:rRNA from 1 species